rnacentral:rRNA from 1 species
UUAUUUUUAUUUUUUUUUUCGGUCAGAUUGAACGCUGGCGGCAGGCCUAACACAUGCAAGUCGAGCGGUAGCACAGAGAGCUUGCUCUCGGGUGACGAGCGGCGGACGGGUGAGUAAUGUCUGGGAAACUGCCUGAUGGAGGGGGAUAACUACUGGAAACGGUAGCUAAUACCGCAUAAUGUCGCAAGACCAAAGUGGGGGACCUUCGGGCCUCAUGCCAUCAGAUGUGCCCAGAUGGGAUUAGCUAGUAGGUGGGGUAACGGCUCACCUAGGCGACGAUCCCUAGCUGGUCUGAGAGGAUGACCAGCCACACUGGAACUGAGACACGGUCCAGACUCCUACGGGAGGCAGCAGUGGGGAAUAUUGCACAAUGGGCGCAAGCCUGAUGCAGCCAUGCCGCGUGUGUGAAGAAGGCCUUCGGGUUGUAAAGCACUUUCAGCGGGGAGGAAGGCGAUAAGGUUAAUAACCUUGUCGAUUGACGUUACCCGCAGAAGAAGCACCGGCUAACUCCGUGCCAGCAGCCGCGGUAAUACGGAGGGUGCAAGCGUUAAUCGGAAUUACUGGGCGUAAAGCGCACGCAGGCGGUCUGUCAAGUCGGAUGUGAAAUCCCCGGGCUCAACCUGGGAACUGCAUUCGAAACUGGCAGGCUAGAGUCUUGUAGAGGGGGGUAGAAUUCCAGGUGUAGCGGUGAAAUGCGUAGAGAUCUGGAGGAAUACCGGUGGCGAAGGCGGCCCCCUGGACAAAGACUGACGCUCAGGUGCGAAAGCGUGGGGAGCAAACAGGAUUAGAUACCCUGGUAGUCCACGCCGUAAACGAUGUCGAUUUGGAGGUUGUGCCCUUGAGGCGUGGCUUCCGGAGCUAACGCGUUAAAUCGACCGCCUGGAGACGCCGACUGG